GACGAACGCUGGCGGCGUGCCUAUUACAUGCAAGUAGAACACUGAAGAGAGGAGCUUGCUCUUCUUGGAUGAGUUGCGAACGGGUGAGUAACGCGUAGGUAACCUGCCUUGUAGCGGGGGAUAACUAUUGGAAACGAUAGCUAAUACCGCAUAACAAUGGAUGACGCAUGUCAUUUAUUUGAAAGGGGCAAUUGCUCCACUACAAGAUGGACCUGCGUUGUAUUAGCUAGUAGGUGAGGUAAUGGCUCACCUAGGCGACGAUACAUAGCCGACCUGAGAGGGUGAUCGGCCACACUGGGACUGAGACACGGCCCAGACUCCUACGGGAGGCAGCAGUAGGGAAUCUUCGGCAAUGGGGGCAACCCUGGCCGAGCAACGCCGCGUGAGUGAAGAAGGUUUUCGGAUCGUAAAGCUCUGUUGUAAGUCAAGAACGGGUGUGAGAGUGGAAAGUUCACACUGUGACGGUAGCUUACCAGAAAGGGACGGCUAACUACGUG
rnacentral:rRNA from 1 species